UGGGGAAUUUUGGACAAUGGGCGAAAGCCUGAUCCAGCAAUGCCGCGUGUGUGAAGAAGGCCUUCGGGUUGUAAAGCACUUUUGUCCGGAAAGAAAUCCUUGGCUCUAAUACAGCCGGGGGAUGACGGUACCGGAAGAAUAAGCACCGGCUAACUACGUGCCAGCAGCCGCGGUAAUACGUAGGGUGCAAGCGUUAAUCGGAAUUACUGGGCGUAAAGCGUGCGCAGGCGGUUUGCUAAGACCGAUGUGAAAUCCCCGGGCUCAACCUGGGAACUGCAUUGGUGACUGGCAGGCUAGAGUAUGGCAGAGGGGGGUAGAAUUCCACGUGUAGCAGUGAAAUGCGUAGAGAUGUGGAGGAAUACCGAUGGCGAAGGCAGCCCCCUGGGCCAAUACUGACGCUCAUGCACGAAAGCGUGGGGGAGCAAACAGGAUUAGAUAUCCUGGUAGUCCACGCCCUAAACGAUGUCAACUAGUUGUUGGGGAUUCAUUUCCUUAGUAACGUAGCUAACGCGUGAAGUUGACCGCCUGGGGGAGUACGGUCGCAAGAUU
rnacentral:rRNA from 1 species